CAGCAGCCGCGGUAAUACGAAGGGUGCAAGCGUUAAUCGGAAUUACUGGGCGUAAAGCGUGCGUAGGCGGUGAGUUAAGUCUGCUGUGAAAUCCUCGGGCUCAACCUGGGAAUGGCAGUGGAUACUGGCUCGCUAGAGUGUGUCAGAGGAUGGUGGAAUUCCCGGUGUAGCGGUGAAAUGCGUAGAGAUCGGGAGGAACAUCAGUGGCGAAGGCGGCCAUCUGGGACAACACUGACGCUGAGGCACGAAAGCGUGGGGAGCAAACAGGAUUAGAUACCCGCGUAGUCCCUGUCUCUUAUAC
rnacentral:rRNA from 1 species